rnacentral:rRNA from 1 species
GACGAACGCUGGCGGCGUGCCUAACACAUGCAAGUCAACUUGACUGAAGGAGCAAUCUGACAGUAGAGUGGCGCAAGGGUGCGUAACGCGUAAGUAACUUGCCCCAAGGUAAGGAAUAACGUCGAGAAAUCGGCGCUAAUACCUCAUAAUGCAGCGGAUCCGCAUGGGUAUGUUGUUAAAGGUUUACCGCCUUGGGAUAGGCUUGCGUCUGAUUAGCUAGUUGGUGUGGUAACGGCACACCAAGGCUACGAUCAGUAACUGGUCUGAGAGGAUGAUCAGUCACACUGGAACUGAGACACGGUCCAGACUCCUACGGGAGGCAGCAGUGAGGAAUAUUGGGCAAUGCUCGAAAGAGUGACCCAGCAACGCCGCGUGGAGGAUGAAGGUAUUCUAUAUCGUAAACUCCUGUGAGAGCAGACGAAAGACAGAUUAUUAAUCUGGAUGACUGUAUGCUCAGAGGAAG